rnacentral:rRNA from 1 species
UACGUAGGGGGCGAGCGUUGUCCGGAGUUACUGGGCGUAAAGGGCAUGCAGGCGGUCGGGCGCGUUUUGUGUGACAGCGGAUGGCUUACCUUUCCGAGCAUACGAAAGACGGUUGGACUUGAGGACUCGAGAGGGACACGGAAUUCCGGGUGGAGUGGUGAAAUGCGUAGAGAUCCGGAGGAACACCGAAGGCGAAGGCAGUGUCCUGGCGAGUGACUGACGCUGAGACGCGAAAGCGUGGGGAGCGAACAGG